AAAGAUAGAAAACCUCCCCUUAAAAAUUUGGAUUCUGUUGUAAAAAUAGGAGAUGUUGCCAUCAAUCUCUUCUCUUCCAUUUUCUUCCUUUCAAUUUCUUCCUUCUCUUAAUUUUGUAAUCUUUCUUCCACUUCUUCCUUUCUUUUGUUCUCUUUUCUUAUUCUCUCGUUUUCUUCCUCUUCUCUUCUCUGUUGCUCUCUCUUUUCUUCCUCAUCUCUUCUCUCUUUUUCUUCCUCUUCUCUUCUUACUUGUUCUCUUCUCG
rnacentral:lncRNA from 1 species